rnacentral:rRNA from 1 species
UACGUAGGGGGCAAGCGUUGUCCGGAUUUAUUGGGCGUAAAGAGCGUGUAGGCGGCUAUACAGGUCCGUUGUGAAAACUCGAGGCUCAACCUCGAGACGCCGAUGGAAACCGUAUGGCUAGAGUCCGGAAGAGGAGAGCGGAAUUCCUGGUGUAGCGGUGAAAUGCGCAGAUAUCAGGAAGAACACCCGUGGCGAAGGCGGCUCUCUGGGACGGUACUGACGCUGAGGAGCGAAAGCGUGGGUAGCGAACAGG